rnacentral:lncRNA from 10 species
UAGCUGGCACAGGACCUUGCUAGCACAGGACCUCACUCCCAGCUCCUCCUGCAGCUCAACAUGGCCAGGUGACUGGUUCUCACUAAAGCAACGGACUUGCAGCUCAAGUAUAUCUGUGCUUCACUGGAAGAGUUGAAAGAGCUGGAGACUGUCUGUGAUCAAUGAGCCCCUGUCACUCUCAUGACACUUUCCUGAACCAUUUCACCAGCACUCAGGCAGAAGAGGAGGACAGCAGGUGAAGUCAGAGAGAUUCAAAGCACAAGGAUUCAACUUUCUGUUGCUGGCCUUGAAGAUGCAGGAGGCCAUGAGCCAAGGAAUGCAAGCAGCCUCUGGAAGUUGAAAACGACCUAAGUGCUCAGUCCUACAGCUGCAUGGAACUGAAAUCUGCCAACACCCUGAGUGAUCCGGAAGUGGAUUUUCUCCCAAAGCCUCCUGAUAGGAGCCCCAGCCAGCUGACAGAUUGACUUCAGCACUAUGACAUCAAAGAGCCCACCCAAGGCUGUUACUGGAAGGAGGGCCUUGAGUUAGAGGAAGUCAGCUUCAUGUUGUAAAGAUGUUCAGGCAGCCUAUAAAGAGGACUACAUUGAAAGCUGGUCUCCAUCUAACAACCAGUGAAGAACUAAGGCCUUCCAACAACUACAGGAGUGAGCUUAGAUAAGUAUCCUUCCCCACUUGAGCCUUCAAAUGACUGCAGCCCUAACCAACAGCCUAACUGUAACUUCCUGAAAGACCCUGAGCCAGAAUCACCCACCUAAGCAGCUCCCAUGAAAACUGUGAGCUGAUAAGUUAUUGUUUUAAGCUUCCACAUCUUAGAUUAAUUUGCAACACAGAAAUUGAUAACUAAUACAGAAGAGAGAUUAAAACAUGGACCUAUAGAGUUGUCACACAAACUUUUUGAAUAUCCCUAAACAUCAAAGACAUAAAUAAAAGGUCUGGUGUCCACUUUCAGGGAAUACACAAUUGAAAUAAAAAGUGUUAUAAAGAAAUAAAAUUGACAAAUCUGCCAUGUGAGUUUUAAGGAGAACAAGCUCAUGGCCAGCUGGAGAGAGAGUGGGAAAUCUACACUGCUUAGCUUGCAGACGCUUCAUGAGUAUCUUUGAACUGGAUUCUGAAAGAUGAAAGAGAUUUGGAGGUGCAGGUGGAAAGGUAUUCUGAAUGUCAAGGUCCUUGUAAGCCAACCAACCAACCUCCUCUUAGAUCAGGCAUUGGUAGGAAUUCCAGGGCAGGCAUAUACAGGGCCUUUCAUGUUGGUGGUGGAAAAGGAGAAUUGGAAGAAGAUUCUGAGGUUCUAGUCCUGGCUUUGCUGCCAAGUGAUUUUUUGAUCAUUAGCAACUCACAUUAUCUCUUUUGGCUUCUGUUUUUGCAGCUGUAGAAUGCAGUGGGGCACUGGAUGGUCACUUCUAGGCCUUAAGUUCUUUGUUAACUUAAGGAGCUUUGAAUGAAUAAAAUUGGAUGUAUUCUUAAGAAUGGCUGGUAAUUUAAUGUGGUUGGUAAGUAUGGAAAAAAAAGGACUAGAACGUCGUGCAAAGAUGUGAGUCCUUUUUCCUUUAAGCCAUGGUUCUUAAGCUUUAAUUAUUCAUUUACCACGUAUGUUAUUUUUUAAUGCAAGUAUACCAUAUAUCAUAAUUUGGUUAAUUAUUAAAUUUAGAUUCACUAGCUUUUUUAAACAUUAGUUUUGCCUUUGAGGACAAUAUUCAUAAAACUAUGAAUCUGCUAGGCUAUUUACAUUUUUUCUAAUAAACAUAAAAGUGAACAGUCACUAUUUAACGAAAUGCGCUCUUCUGUGUACCACCUGAAAUCCUUCAAUAGUCCAGCAGUGGUACAUCAUGCUUUGGGAAACACCAUUGAUAACGGUGUCAGGGGAGGGGAUGCCCUAAUCGAAGCUGUGUUUGUGUGGAGUCAGCUGGAAGUCACCCUAGAGGCUCUCCUCUUCUUUAGCACUCCUGACAUCCAAUCAAUUACCAAGUCCAGUAGAUCCUGUCUCCUAAGUAACUCUUUAUGCCCCUUGCUCUCACUCCCUCCUCAACUUCCUGGGCUUAAGUUCUCAUCAUUUGCAACAUGCACCAUUUCAGCGGCUUCCUGAUUUCCAGCACUCAAACCUUGCCCUUCCUCUGCCCUAUGAACACAAUUCUGACCAUGUGACUUCUUUGCUCAAAAUCCUUUCCCCUCACCUUCAGAAUAAAAACACACACUCCUUAGCUUUGUGCACUGGGCCCUUCAGACUUGAGACUGUGUACACCUGUCCAGUCUCACUUCUGGCCCUCAUCCACCCCGCAUCAACACAUGCACAGGCACACUUCAGCCUCCAAGAACCCUGAAGGAUUUGCACUUCCCUGAGCAAGACUGUUCUCACACAUGUAACCUUGUGUCUUUGAAGGAAAAAUGCUGUCAUCCUGGAAUGCCCUCCCUUCCUAGUCUGCCGGAACAAGCCUCCUCAUCCUUAGGGGUUCAGCCAUUCCAGAUUCCAGAUUUCUCUCUAGAGACACAGGCAUGUCUUCCCUGGAGCAACCAUUUCACUGGGUACAAAUCUCUAUCCUACCACUCUGUGUUAUAAAUGCCUCUUGAUAUCCCAAAUCCAGUGCUAAAGUGUGAAGACAGAGUUUGGGUGCUUUAUUUAUUCCUUUAUCUUUGAUGCCCUGCACCCUGGUGCCACCCAAUAAAUGCUUCUCAAAUAAAUAUGUGGCCUGCAGGCGUACAGAGGCAAGUCUAUGGUUUGGCUAGAAGGGGAACUAAAUUCCAGCUCCCUCCUGCUGCUGCUCCUGCCACUGAUGAAAAGUGUCUUCCCAACAGGAAGAAUGAAUGAGCCUUGGGGCGGUGGUAGCAGGUGUGCUGAACUCUGGCUAGGUCUCCUCAACCCCUGAAGGUGAGGCCCUGCUCAAAGCUUCCUGAUUCCUGUUAAGUUCAAUGUUUUCUGACAGACACAAGCCAAUUAGCUGUCUGCUGCUGGCGGCUGGUUUAU